CUCCCUCCUUUAACCAGAGCGCCCUCGGUUUGGCCUCCAACUAGUCUCCUCGAGUUAUUGCUAACUCGGCUAUUUCCCUUUUAACCUCCCCCAAUCUCUCUUUCUCAGAUUCAUCUAACUCCCUCACCUAUUCCCCUCUCUCUAAUUCCCCAUGUUCAUGCAUAAGCUCCCUCAUUUUAACCUCUACCCUCCCAAAAACCUCUUUAUUCC
rnacentral:lncRNA from 1 species